GCGCUCUUUGAUGGGCUCAUGUCCUAUCAGCUUGUUGGUAGGGUAACGGCCUACCAAGGCUUUGACGGGUAGCUGGUCUGAGAGGACGAUCAGCCACACUGGCACUGCGACACGGGCCAG
rnacentral:rRNA from 1 species